rnacentral:rRNA from 1 species
GUCGAACGCUUCUUUUUCCACCGGAGCUUGCUCCACCGGAAAAAGAGGAGUGGCGAACGGGUGAGUAACACGUGGGUAACCUGCCCAUCAGAAGGGGAUAACACUUGGAAACAGGUGCUAAUACCGUAUAACAAUCAAAACCGCAUGGUUUUGAUUUGAAAGGCGCUUUCGGGUGUCGCUGAUGGAUGGACCCGCGGUGCAUUAGCUAGUUGGUGAGGUAACGGCUCACCAAGGCCACGAUGCAUAGCCGACCUGAGAGGGUGAUCGGCCACAUUGGGACUGAGACACGGCCCAAACUCCUACGGGAGGCAGCAGUAGGGAAUCUUCGGCAAUGGACGAAAGUCUGACCGAGCAACGCCGCGUGAGUGAAGAAGGUUUUCGGAUCGUAAAACUCUGUUGUUAGAGAAGAACAAGGAUGAGAGUAACUGUUCAUCCCUUGACGGUAUCUAACCAGAAAGCCACGGCUAACUACGUGCCAGCAGCCGCGGUAAUACGUAGGUGGCAAGCGUUGUCCGGAUUUAUUGGGCGUAAAGCGAGCGCAGGCGGUUUCUUAAGUCUGAUGUGAAAGCCCCCGGCUCAACCGGGGAGGGUCAUUGGAAACUGGGAGACUUGAGUGCAGAAGAGGAGAGUGGAAUUCCAUGUGUAGCGGUGAAAUGCGUAGAUAUAUGGGAGGAACACCAGUGGCGAACGCGGCUCUCUGGUCUGUAACUGACGCUGAGGCUCGAAAGCG